ACCGUGUGGCGGGAGCGAACCCGCGCCCGGCAGUGGCGGGGGCUGCUCCCAGCUUCAGGCUGUCACGGACCUGCCGCCUCCUCCUACUCCGCAUCCGCCGAGCCUGCCCGGGUCCGGGCGCUUGUCUAUGGGCACCACGGGGAUCCAGCCAAGGUCGUCGAAUGAAAACUGAGGCAGAAGAGGUAAAAUCACUGUCCAAGGUCACACAGCCAAGGUAUAACCAGGGAAUUGUUUCAGAGGUUUCCUUGGAUAUUCCUACAACUGAUAACAGCUGCCAUUUCUUCAGCAUCUACUGUGUAGAACCAUAAUUCCUGGGCACACAUGGCAGCUCAGAAAUGUUGCCUGACCUACUUUGGGGAGAUGAUUUGAGCGAAACACCCAUUCUAGCCUGCAUGACAUGAACAUCUCUGUUUGGCUUUGUGCUUAGACUCAAGAACCUGGAGCUAGCUGCUGUGGGAGGAUCAGAUGUCCGUGUGAAGAUGCUGGCGGCCCCUAUCAAUCCAUCUGACAUAAAUAUGAUCCAAGGAAACUACGGACUCCUUCCCGAACUGCCUGCUGUUGGAGGGAAU
rnacentral:sRNA from 1 species